rnacentral:rRNA from 1 species
AUCUCAUGCAAGUCGAGCGGUAGCACAGAGAGCUUGCUCUCGGGUGACGAGCGGCGGACGGGUGAGUAAUGUCUGGGAAACUGCCUGAUGGAGGGGGAUAACUACUGGAAACGGUAGCUAAUACCGCAUAAUGUCGCAAGACCAAAGUGGGGGACCUUCGGGCCUCAUGCCAUCAGAUGUGCCCAGAUGGGAUUAGCUAGUAGGUGGGGUAACGGCUCACCUAGGCGACGAUCCCUAGCUGGUCUGAGAGGAUGACCAGCCACACUGGAACUGAGACACGGUCCAGACUCCUACGGGAGGCAGCAGUGGGGAAUAUUGCACAAUGGGCGCAAGCCUGAUGCAGCCAUGCCGCGUGUAUGAAGAAGGCCUUCGGGUUGUAAAGUACUUUCAGCGGGGAGGAAGGCGAUAAGGUUAAUAACCUUGUCGAUUGACGUUACCCGCAGAAGAAGCACCGGCUAACUCCGUGCCAGCAGCCGCGGUAAUACGGAGGGUGCAAGCGUUAAUCGGAAUUACUGGGCGUAAAGCGCACGCAGGCGGUCUGUCAAGUCGGAUGUGAAAUCCCCGGGCUCAACCUGGGAACUGCAUUCGAAACUGGCAGGCUAGAGUCUUGUAGAGGGGGGUAGAAUUCCAGGUGUAGCGGUGAAAUGCGUAGAGAUCUGGAGGAAUACCGGUGGCGAAGGCGGCCCCCUGGACAAAGACUGACGCUCAGGUGCGAAAGCGUGGGGAGCAAACAGGAUUAGAUACCCUGGUAGUCCACGCCGUAAACGAUGUCGAUUUGGAGGUUGUGCCCUUGAGGCGUGGCUUCCGGAGCUAACGCGUUAAAUCGACCGCCUGGGGAGUACGGCCGCAAGGUUAAAACUCAAAUGAAUUGACGGGGGCCCGCACAAGCGGUGGAGCAUGUGGUUUAAUUCGAUGCAACGCGAAGAACCUUACCUGGUCUUGACAUCCACAGAACUUAGCAGAGAUGCUUUGGUGCCUUCGGGAACUGUGAGACAGGUGCUGCAUGGCUGUCGUCAGCUCGUGUUGUGAAAUGUUGGGUUAAGUCCCGCAACGAGCGCAACCCUUAUCCUUUGUUGCCAGCGGUUCGGCCGGGAACUCAAAGGAGACUGCCAGUGAUAAACUGGAGGAAGGUGGGGAUGACGUCAAGUCAUCAUGGCCCUUACGACCAGGGCUACACACGUGCUACAAUGGCAUAUACAAAGAGAAGCGACCUCGCGAGAGCAAGCGGACCUCAUAAAGUAUGUCGUAGUCCGGAUUGGAGUCUGCAACUCGACUCCAUGAAGUCGGAAUCGCUAGUAAUCGUAGAUCAGAAUGCUACGGUGAAUACGUUCCCGGGCCUUGUACACACCGCCCGUCACACCAUGGGAGUGGGUUGCAAAAGAAGUAGGUAGCUUAACCUUCGGG